rnacentral:rRNA from 1 species
CAGCCGCCGCGGGAAUACGAAGGGUGCAAGCGUUACUCGGAAUUACUGGGCGUAAAGCGUGCGUAGGUGGUGGUUUAAGUCCGUUGUGAAAGCCCUGGGCUCAACCUGGGAAUUGCAGUGGAUACUGGGUCACUAGAGUGUGGUAGAGGAUAGUGGAAUUUCCGGUGUAGCAGUGAAAUGCGUAGAGAUCGGAAGGAACAUCUGUGGCGAAGGCGACUAUCUGGGCCAACACUGACACUGAGGCACGAAAGCGUGGGGAGCAAACAGGAUUAGAUACCCCGGUAGUCCCUGUCUCUUAUCC